rnacentral:rRNA from 1 species
CAGUGGGGAAUAUUGGACAAUGGGGGAAACCCUGAUCCAGCAAUGCCGCGUGAGUGAAGAAGGCCUUAGGGUUGUAAAGCUCUUUCGCCCGCGACGAUGAUGACGGUAGCGGGAGAAGAAGCCCCGGCUAAUCCGUGCCAGCAGCCGCGGUAAUACGGAAGGGGCUAGCGUUGUUCGGAAUCACUGGGCGUAAAGCGCGCGUAGGCGGCUUGGCAAGUGCGGCGUGAAAGUCCUGGGCUCAACCUGGGGACGGCGCUGCGGACUGCUUGGCUGGAGUCCGGAAGAGGGUGGUGGAAUUCCGAGUGUAGAGGUGAAAUUCGUAGAUAUUCGGAGGAACACCGGUGGCGAAGGCGGCCACCUGGUCCGGUACUGACGCUGAAGCGCGAAAGCGUGGGGAGCAAACAGGAUUAGAUACCCUGGUAGUCCACGCCGUAAACGAUGGGUGCUAGAUGUCGGGGGGCUUGCCCUUCGGUGUCGUAGCCAACGCGUUAAGCACCCCGCCUGGGGAGUACGGCCGCAAGGUUA